rnacentral:rRNA from 1 species
ACACGUAGGGGGCGAGCGUUAUCCGGAAUUACUGGGCGUAAAGAGUGCGUAGGUGGCUUUGCAAGCGUAGGGUAUAAGGCGACAGCCCAACUGUCGUUGGCCCCGCGAACUGUAAGGCUUGAGUACAGGAGGGGAAGGCGGAAUUCCUAGUGUAGCGGUGAAAUGCGUAGAUAUUAGGAGGAACACCAGUGGCGAAGGCGGCCUUCUGGACUGUAACUGACACUGAGGCACGAAAGCGUGGGUAGCAAACAGGAUUGGAUACCCUGGUAGUCCACGCCGUAAACGAUGAGCACUAGGUGUCGGGCUCGCAAGAGUUCGGUGCCGGAGCAAACGCAUUAAGUGCUCCGCCUGGGGAGUACGCACGCAAGUGUGAAACUCAAAUGAAUUGGCGGGG